rnacentral:rRNA from 1 species
CCUACGGGAGGCAGCAGUAGGGAAUCUUCCGCAAUGGACGAAAGUCUGACGGAGCAACGCCGCGUGAACGAUGAAGGCCUUCGGGUCGUAAAGUUCUGUUGUUAGGGAAGAACAAGUGCUAGUUAAAUAAGCUGGCACCUUGACGGUACCUAACCAGAAAGCCACGGCUAACUACGUGCCAGCAGCCGCGGUAAUACGUAGGUGGCAAGCGUUGUCCGGAAUUAUUGGGCGUAAAGCGCGCGCAGGCGGUUUCUUAAGUCUGAUGUGAAAGCCCCCGGCUCAACCGGGGAGGGUCAUUGGAAACUGGGAAACUUGAGUGCAGAAGAGGAAAGUGGAAUUCCAAGUGUAGCGGUGAAAUGCGUAGAGAUUUGGAGGAACACCAGUGGCGAAGGCGACUUUCUGGUCUGUAACUGACGCUGAGGCGCGAAAGCGUGGGGAGCAAACAGGAUUAGAUACCCUGGUAGUCCACGCCGUAAACGAUGAGUGCUAAGUGUUAGAGGGUUUCCGCCCUUUAGUGCUGAAGUUAACGCAUUAAGCACUCCGCCUGGGGAGUACGGUCGCAAGACUGAAACUCAAAGGAAUUGACGG